GUUCCUGCCCCGCACAUAGAGAAGGAAGUGGAGAGGAAUUCUGCCUGUUGCUGCAAUUUCACUCUCUAUUGUUCUGUCCCUACAAACUCCUCAGUGGAAUGGUACCAUUGGCAGAAAGGGAAUAAUGAGACUGGGCACCUGCACUAUAUGAAUGGAUCCUCCAUCCAGGUGUCACUGCACAGCCAAUCACUGAGGACUUUGGAUGAGGAGUUUAGCUGCACUGUGUAUAACCCAGCCAAUCAGAAAAGCACCUCCAUUCACAUAAAGGACAUCUGCACUCUAAUGACAGACAGAGAAUUGCAACGAUAUUAUUUAUGGUUCAUCCCACUCUUUCUCAUUAUUUUAAUCGCGUUGCUUGUAUGCUUGGCUGUUGCGAGGAAGAAGAGGAAAAGAUACCAGCAUGUGUAUUAGACAAGAAAGGGAUCCUCUCUGAAACAGAGCUCGAUUAACCCUGAAAAAAAAAACAGUAUUUGCACAGAACAGAGUGUAAAACAAUUUACUUUGAGCCAUGUGAUCAGAGACAAACAACAGAGGAAGCCAAAAUCAUCAAAAUCAUGAAAAAUACCAGGCCCCGAGACCCAGUUGCCUAAAAAGACAGUCUUGUAAUACAAAACACAUCUGCAGUAAGAAGGAAAUAAUUCACAACCCUUUAAUUACAUCACUGAAGAGAACAGAGAGGACUGACAAUGUUAAAGUAUUAUAUGAGAUAUUGUUACAAAAUAUUCACAAGGGUCAUCAAGCAUUUUUUUGGAAAAGCUGCUGCUGUU